rnacentral:lncRNA from 1 species
AUCGAGUAGCAUUGUAGCAUCGGUGAGUCGUUGUUUCAACACAAUUACAUAGAAGAAAAAAAAGAUAACCACAGGCUACACUUAACAUCCAUCCACCAAACAAACCAAUUGUGCUCUUCUACUCUCUGAAAAAGCUCGAUGCAAGGGGAGGGGCCGAGGCCGGACGGCGGCGUAGCCGGCCGGACCCCUCGCGCGGCUGCCUCUCGUGAACGAGGAAGGAAGAGGAAGCGGGGUCCGGAUCUAGCAAAGAGCAGGCUACAAUUAACACUAAGAGCAGAAAUCAUAAAUUCCCAAAAAGGAAAAUUAAGAACAAAUCGGGAGGAAUGGGAGAACAAAUCUGCUUGGGCGGGUCUGCCUCGAUGGAGAAAUCGCAGGGGAGCCUUCAGGCGUCGGCCAACAGAGGAAGCAGCGUGGGUAGGCGGAGGAGGAGACGGGCCGGCGUCCGUGGAGAGGGGGUCGCAGCCAUCCAUGGAGACGAAGUCGCCGUCGUAUUCGUGGAGGCUUCAGGUGUUGGGCGUCGGUCAGUGGUCUGGCGUAUGCGGGCCAGCAGAGGAGAAGUUCGGGGGCCGGCGGAGGAGACGGAUCCUGGGGAGGCGGGCCGGCGGCAUCCGCAGGCAGCGCUGCAUUGGGCUGCUCUCUCGGGAGACGAGGUGGGGAGAGAACGAGGGGAGGGAAAGGGGAAUAAGGCAAGAAAACGAUUCGAGUCACAGAGUGGCAUUUGGAUGUAAAUACGGAAUAAGUGACGAGGGUAAAAGGGUGUGGGAUAUUUCACAAGCUCCAGCGAGGAGUAGAAGCACCGAAAUAGGUGCUUGUGCUCUCUAGUACAAAUUCGGCUAGAGCUUUUUCUCUCCAGCUAGCUGCAGAUGAGGUGUUUGUUUUAGCUUGUUGGCUUGUGGUCA